CCUACGGGAGGCAGCAGUGGGGAAUAUUGGACAAUGGGGGGAACCCUGAUCCAGCCAUGCCGCGUGUGUGAAGAAGGCCCUCGGGUUGUAAAGCACUUUCAGUGAGGAAGAACGCCUGGUGGUUAAUACCCAUCAGGAAAGACAUCACUCACAGAAGAAGCACCGGCUAACUCCGUGCCAGCAGCCGCGGUAAUACGGAGGGUGCGAGCGUUAAUCGGAAUUACUGGGCGUAAAGCGCGCGUAGGUGGCUUGAUAAGCCGGUUGUGAAAGCCCCGGGCUCAACCUGGGAACGGCAUCCGGAACUGUCCAGCUAGAGUGCAGGAGAGGAAGGUAGAAUUCCCGGUGUAGCGGGGAAAUGCGUAGAGAUCGGGAGGAAUACCAGUGGCGAAGGCGGCCUUCUGGACUGACACUGACACUGAGGUGCGAAAGCGUGGGUAGCACACAGGAUUAGAUACCCUUGUAGUC
rnacentral:rRNA from 1 species